rnacentral:rRNA from 1 species
CCUACGGGAGACAGCAGUGAGGAAUAUUGGUCAAUGGACGAGAGCCUGAACCAGCCAAGUAGCGUGAAGGAUGACUGCCCUAUGGGUUGUAAACUUCUUUUAUAUGGGAAUAAAACAGGGUAUGCAUACCCUCUUGUAUGUACCAUAUGAAUAAGGAUCGGCUAACUCCGUGCCAGCAGCCGCGGUAAUACGGAGGAUCCGAGCGUUAUCCGGAUUUAUUGGGUUUAAAGGGAGCGUAGGUGGAUUGUUAAGUCAGUUGUGAAAGUUUGCGGCUCAACCGUAAAAUUGCAGUUGAAACUGGCAGUCUUGAGUACAGUAGAGGUGGGCGGAAUUCGUGGUGUAGCGGUGAAAUGCUUAGAUAUCACGAAGAACUCCGAUUGCGAAGGCAGCUCACUGGACUGCAACUGACACUGAUGCUCGAAAGUGUGGGUAUCAAACAGGAUUAGAUACCCCAGUAGUC